rnacentral:rRNA from 1 species
CGAAGUAACCUUACCAGGUUCUUGACAUCCCGAUGCUAUUUCUAGAGAUAGAAAGUUACUUCGGUACAUCGGUGACAGGUGGUGCAUGGUUGUCGUCAGCUCGUGUCGUGAGAUGUUGGGUUAAGUCCCGCAACGAGCGCAACCCCUAUUGUUAGUUGCCAUCAUUCAGUUGGGCACUCUAGCGAGACUGCCGGUAAUAAACCGGAGGAAGGUGGGAUGACGUCAAAUCAUCAUGCCCCUUAUGACCUGGGCUACACACGUGCUACAAUGGUUGGUACAACGAGUUGCGAGUCGGUGACGGCGAGCUAAUCUCUUAAAGCCAAUCUCAGUUCGGAUUAUAGGCUGCAACUCGCCUACAUGAAGUCGGAAUCGCUAGUAAUCGCGGAUCAGCACGCCGCGGUGAAUACGUUCCCGGGCCUU